CGAGAUAUUCAGGUGGCCUGUUUUAGGUGCCUCACCCUGUAUAUUUGUACAUAUAAAAAAAGGAUAAGUAGUUUCGAAAUACUUUCGUAUAGCGCGAUAGAAUUGUCUUAAUUGAUGUAUUCUUCCGUUUAUCAAUUAUUCUUUUGGACACCACGACCUUGAUUCGUUCGAAAUCAUUUAGUUCUCGCUAAGACAAGGUUUAAGAGGUUUCAAAAAAAUGCAAUACAUCCUGCAUGUGUAACGGGAAGACUAGUGCUGCAUUCAAAACUACCAUCAUUCAAGCAGACAGAAUGAAGACCAGAAUCAAUUAUGAACCCUAGCCAAGCGUCGAUUUCCCAGGAUCGACAAAUUCGUCAGCGUCAAAUACAAUCAUGCGAAUGUGCUAAACACGUCCGAGCGGAAUAUUACAUCAUGUCGAAUUACGGAAUUGCGUGUUAGCACGUAAAUUGUUGAUGCAAAUUGUGCGUGUCUGAUGGAUUAAUGCUGCACAGCUUCCUAUAAAGAGAUCAAGUGUUUCAUAGCGAGCCAGGAGCAACAAUACGUCGCAGUAUUCUUGCGAGAUGACGCGUGUUACUCGAUCACUAUCAUCAUAAAACGCAGUGCCGUUAGUUCCUCAUUCUACAAACGUGCCAUUUAUUUACAUAACUGACAAUUUCCGGUAGUUAGUCGCUGGUUAAUUAGCGUCAAUUAAUUCCACGUAUCUCUCAUUAGGCCGGAAGGACAAGUGCCAUCGCAAUGCGUAAUGUUAUGCGCGUUAAGUGUCAUAAAAAUCAAUUUAACUGCAUGCAGGCGCUAUCGUGGCGUGUAAUACCGACAAUUCCGAAUUAAGGUUAAUUAAGGUUGAUUGCUAAUAACGCAGCUCGCCUAUUCUCGGAAUAAGUGCAGGGGAACAUCACUUUGUUUAAAUCAGGGGACUGCAGAAUAGCCGACAUUAAAGGUAGCAGACUAAAGUGGCAAACCAUGUGUCUUGUGCAAAGAACUCUGCUUUCGAUAAAUGAUGAUUAAUUUAAUGACGGAGGCAACUUGACAGGAUGUCGAACAGCUAUCCAAGUAAUUAUUUCACAAGAAUCUUUUUCAAUCCACUUCCAAUUAGUCGCUUGGAACUUGAAAAUGUUAUCAGACCUGCGAGAACGUAAGAGAAUGCAAUUCGAGUUCCAUCAAGCUGCUCCCGCUUGCGCGUCAUCUUGUGAUGCAUAUUUCAUCUUAUGUGUUACGUGUGUUAAUACGAAUGCGAAUGCUCUUCGUGUUCCUUCGUGCUGUAUAAGUUGUGAGCGAUAAUCAUUACACGAUAUAAAAAACCACUUUGAUCGAUAGUA